rnacentral:rRNA from 1 species
AAACAGAUUUUUUCNNUGGGGANGACAAANACAUUUCUUUCUGCGGGGGGAACAACCAAGGGGGGGGCCCCCACCACACCCACGUUUUUUUUUUUAUAAAAAGAAGCAAAACAAAACGGGGGGGGGGGGGUAUUUUUUCUCCCCCCCGGGGGGGGGGGGGGGGGGGANCAAAAACAACCGGUUUUUUUUUUUUUUUAAAAAAAAGGGGGGGGACCCACCACCGUUUUUUUUAUAAAAAAGAGGG